GGGAAGCUGCAGGUGUAUGUGGUUGGGAAAGAGGGAGGGGCUACAAACACAGGAAGUGACCAGCAGAAGGACAUAGAGGAGGAGAAGCCGCCGCGGACACGGGGGGUCCCCACUUCACCAAUCAGAGGAACAAUCGUCAUAAUGAAUGGAAGAACGGAUUGGCUUUUCCUUCUCCUUCUUCUGUGCUCCACAGUUGGUGCUCUACAGAUGACGGGACCUUCUACAUACAAAGCCAGAGUUGGAUCCAUUGCCCACAUUCCCUGCACUUUCACAGCGGAUAAACUUCCUGCAGAUCCCAAAUAUUUUGCCGUUUUUUGGUAUUUAGAAAAAAAACGUAUCCAAAGCUAUGAUAACACCGUGACAACUGAUCCCAGAUAUUCAUUGGAUAAAGAUCGAGCGUUGAAUGGAAAUGCUUCUCUGACCAUCUCUAAUACAUUCCUAUCAGAUGGUGGAACCUACACAUGUUCAGUGACCAAAGAACAUCUACGAGUGGAGAAAGAGAUCAAAGUAGAAAUUUCAGUUGGUGCUCUGCAGAUGACGGGACCUUCUACAUAUGAAGCCAGAGUUGGGUCCAUUGCCCACAUUCCCUGCAUCUUCACAGCUGAUAAACUUCCUGCAGAUCCCAAAUAUUUUACAGUUUUUUGGUAUUUAGAAGGAAAUCUUAUCCUAAACUAUGAUAAGACUGUGAUAUCGAAUGAUCCCAGAUAUUCAUUGGAUAAAUAUCAAGCACUGAAUGGAAAUGCUUCUCUGACCAUCUCUAAUCCAUCUGUAUCAGACGGCGGACUCUACACAUGUUCUGUCAACUACAGUUCUUUCCUAAUGAAGAGAGAGAUCAGCAUGACACUUUCAGCCCGACCUCUACUCUUCAUUCUCGGCAAGAGUGUCCAGAGAAAUACAGAGAACACCCUGACCUGUAUGGCCAAUGGAUACUUCCCUAAUGAUAUCAAUGUCACGUGGUAUAAAGAUGGAGAAGUCCUGAAGAAUCAGUCCAUGGGAGAGCCACUCCAAUACGACAAUGGAACGUACCAAGUGAACAGCACGGCGACAAUCACACCGAGCGAUGAUGAGCGGUACAAAACGUUCUCCUGCAGAGUCCAACAUGUUUCUCUACAAGAACCUCUACAGGAGGACUUCCAGCUCUCCUAUGAAGAGUCCUCACCUAAUGUGGGCAUUAUUAUCGGUAUUGUCAUAGCAGUUGUGGCGAUAAUUGUGAUAAUUGCAGCUGUCAUUUGGUGGAUAGAAAACAAGAGUAAAGACGACAAAGAAGCAGACGACAAAGAAGCAGACGAAGAAGAAGACGAAGACGACCGCCAUAAAAUGGAGACGAAGAAGUUAUAUGAAGGAGAUUGACGUCCAGCAGACACUAACAAUGACUUUCAUGUUCAUGCACUGCAGUGUAGUGGAGCAUCAUGGGAAAUGUAGUUCCAAAACAUCUGGGGUGCCGAGGUUCCCCAUCACUGGGCUCAUCUUCAGGAGGAAUCCAGUACUCUAAGGCUCCAUUCACACCUAGGCGUAGGGCGUACAGGCGUUUUUACAGGCGAUUUUUA